rnacentral:rRNA from 1 species
UGGCGGACGGGUGAGUAACGCGUGGGUAACCUGCCUUACACAGGGGGAUAACACCUGGAAACAGGUGCUAAUACCGCAUAAGCGCACAGGGCCGCAUGGCCCGGUGUGAAAAACUCCGGUGGUGUAAGAUGGACCCGCGUCUGAUUAGCUUGUUGGCGGGGUAGGGGCCCACCAAGGCGACGAUCAGUAGCCGGCCUGAGAGGGUGGACGGCCACAUUGGGACUGAGAUACGGCCCAGACUCCUACGGAAGGCAGCAG